AUUGAACGCUGGCGGCAUGCCUAACACAUGCAAGUCGAACGAGUGGCGGACGGGUGAGUAAUGUCUGGGAAACUGCCCGAUGGAGGGGGAUCACUACUGGAAACGGUAGCUAAUACCGCAUACCAUCGGAGGUGCCCAGAUGGGAUUAGCUGGUAGGUGGGGUAACGGCUCACAUAGGCCACGAUCCCUAGCUGGUCUGAGAGGAUGACAAGCCAAACUGGAACUGAGACACGGUCCGGACUCCUAGGGGGGGCGGCAGUGGGAAAUAUUGCACAAGGGGGGAAAGCCUGAUGCAGCAAUGCCGCGUGUAUGAAGAAGGCCUUCGGGUUGUAAAGUCCUUUCAGCGAGGAGGCGUUACUCGCAGAAGAAGCACCGGCUAACUCCGUGCCAGCAGCCGCGGUAUUC
rnacentral:rRNA from 1 species